AUACGUAGGGGGCAAGCGUUGUCCGGAAUCACAGGGCGUAAAGGGUGCGUAGGCGGCCUAGCAAGUCCUGUGUGAAAUACCUCGGCUUAACCGGGGAGGGUCAUGGGAAACUGUUAGGCUCGAGUGCCGGAGAGGGCAGUGGAAUUCCAGGUGUAGCGGUGAAAUGCGUAGAUAUCUGGAGGAACAUCAGUGGCGAAGGCGACUGCCUGGACGGUAACUGACGCUGAGGCACGACAGCUGGGGGAGCAAACAGGAUUAGAUACCCUGGUAGUCCCAGCCGUAAACGAUGAGUGCUAGGUGUUGGGGGUAUCGACCCCUCCAGUGCCGUAGUAAACACAUUAAGCACUCCGCCUGGGGAGUACGGCCGCAAGGCUGAA
rnacentral:rRNA from 1 species